UACAGAGGGUGCAAGCGUUGUUCGGAAUUAUUGGGCGUAAAGCGCGUGUAGGCGGCUUGUUAAGUCGGGUGUGAAAGCCCUCAGCUCAACUGAGGAAGUGCGCCCGAAACUGGCGAGCUUGAGUGUCGGAGAGGAUGGCGGAAUACCCCAAGUAGAGGUGAAAUUCGUAGAUAUUAGGAAGAACACCGGUGGCGAAGGCGGCCCACUGGUCCGGUACUGACGCUGAGGUGCGAAAGCGUGGGGAGCAAACAGG
rnacentral:rRNA from 1 species